CCUGUAAGCGACAACAUCUCUGUCAUCCAUCAACAUCGUCACCCGUCGUUUGGUGCAGUGACAUGAGGUAACAGGUAUUUUAGGAGUAAGAGUUCCCAGAAUGAAGUCAGUCUCUCGGAGCAGUCGGAGUCGCUGGGGCAUGAAUCUCCAGAGAACGCUAGACGUGGAAUGAGCCCGGGCUGAUUUGAGUCAGGAGGAAGGUCGUCACCACACAAAUGAAAAACAUGAGAAGUGGUUCAAGGUCUAAUCAAGUCCUCAGACUGCACUCACUGGGAGCAAUUAAGUUCCUCCCUCUCGCUCAACAUAGGUAACCAGAUCCUCCUAUUGACAUUCUCAAUAAAAGGUCAUUUAUUGUGGACGGACAAAAUGAUCAGGCUCCA